rnacentral:rRNA from 1 species
UACGUAGGGUGCGAGCGUUAAUCGGAUUUACUGGGCGUAAAGCGUGCGCAGGCGGCCCGUUAAGACAGGUGUGAAAUCCCUGGGCUCAACCUAGGAAUUGCGCUUGUGACUGGCGGGCUCGAGUACGGUAGAGGAGGGUGGAAUUCCUGGUGUAGCAGUGAAAUGCGUAGAGAUCAGGAGGAACACCGAUGGCGAAGGCAGCCCCCUGGGCCUGUACUGACGCUCAUGCACGAAAGCGUGGGGAGCAAACAGG